CUAUUUCACCGAAAGAAAAAGAAAAAAGAUAGAAAGAGAGAGAGACAGAGAGAUUAGAAAUAAGUGGGAAAAAAAUAAAAAAGAGAGAGCAAAAUGAAAAUAAAUAAAUAAAUAGAAAGAAAGAAAAUAGGAGAGAGAAAAAAUAAUAAAUAAAAUAAUAAUUAUUGCCAUAAGGCUCCGACGAGAUAUUGAUGUGGUUGGAAUUGGACAGCAG
rnacentral:lncRNA from 1 species